rnacentral:rRNA from 1 species
GAUGAACGCUGGCGGCGUGCCUAAUACAUGCAAGUCGAGCGAACAGACGAGGAGCUUGCUCCUCUGACGUUAGCGGCGGACGGGUGAGUAACACGUGGAUAACCUACCUAUAAGACUGGGAUAACUUCGGGAAACCGGAGCUAAUACCGGAUAAUAUAUUGAACCGCAUGGUUCAAUAGUGAAAGACGGUUUUGCUGUCACUUAUAGAUGGAUCCGCGCCGCAUUAGCUAGUUGGUAAGGUAACGGCUUACCAAGGCAACGAUGCGUAGCCGACCUGAGAGGGGGAUCGGCCACACUGGAACUGGGACACGGUCCAGACUCCUACGGGAGGCAGCAGUAGGGAAUCUUCCGCAAUGGGCGAAAGCCUGACGGAGCAACGCCGCGUGAGUGAUGAAGGUCUUCGGAUCGUAAAACUCUGUUAUUAGGGAAGAACAAAUGUGUAAGUAACUGUGCACGUCUUGACGGUACCUAAUCAGAAAGCCACGGCUAACUACGUG